rnacentral:rRNA from 1 species
GAGGUCCCAAGCGUUGUUCGGAUUUACUGGGCGUAAAGCGUGCGUAGGCGGCGAGGCAAGUUUGGCGUGAAAGCUCCGGGCCCAACCCGGAAAAUGCGCUGGAAACUGCCUCACUAGAGGUAUGGAGGGGAGUCUGGAAUUCCUGGUGUAGCAGUGAAAUGCGUAGAUAUCAGGAGGAACACCAAUGGCGAAGGCAAGACUCUGGACAUAUCCUGACGCUGAGGUACGAAGGCCAGGGGAGCGAAGAGG